rnacentral:tRNA from 1 species
GCCGACGUGGCGGAAUGGCAGACGCGCCUGACUCAAAAUCAGGUGGGGUAACUCCCCGUGCUGGUUCGACUCCAGUCGUCGGCACCA